rnacentral:rRNA from 1 species
ACGCUGGCGGCGUGCCUAAUACAUGCAAGUCGAACGAGAGCGACCGGUGCUUGCACUGGUCAAUCUAGUGGCGAACGGGUGAGUAACACGUGGGUAACCUGCCCAUCAGAGGGGGAUAACAUUCGGAAACGGAUGCUAAAACCGCAUAGGUCUUCGAACCGCAUGGUUUGAAGAGGAAAAGAGGCGCAAGCUUCUGCUGAUGGAUGGACCCGCGGUGCAUUAGCUAGUUGGUGAGGUAACGGCUCACCAAGGCCGUGAUGCAUAGCCGACCUGAGAGGGUGAUCGGCCACAUUGGGACUGAGACACGGCCCAAACUCCUACGGGAGGCAGCAGUAGGGAAUCUUCCGCAAUGGACGCAAGUCUGACGGAGCAACGCCGCGUGAGUGAAGAAGGUUUUCGGAUCGUAAAACUCUGUUGUUAGAGAAGAACAAGUGCUAGAGUAACUGUUAGCGCCUUGACGGUAUCUAACCAGAAAGCCACGGCUAACUACGUGCCAGCAGCCGCGGUAAUACGUAGGUGGCAAGCGUUGUCCGGAUUUAUUGGGCGUAAAGCGAGCGCAGGCGGUUCCUUAAGUCUGAUGUGAAAGCCCCCGGCUCAACCGGGGAGGGUCAUUGGAAACUGGGGAACUUGAGUGCAGAAGAGGAGAGUGGAAUUCCAUGUGUAGCGGUGAAAUGCGUAGAUAUAUGGAGGAACACCAGUGGCGGAGGCGACUCUCUGGUCUGUAACUGACGCUGAGGCUCGAAAGCGUGGGUAGCAAACAGGAUUAGAUACCCUGGUAGUCCACGCCGUAAACGAUGAGUGCUAAGUGUUGGAGGGUUUCCGCCCUUCAGUGCUGCAGUUAACGCAUUAAGCACUCCGCCUGGGGAGUACGACCGCAAGGUUGAAACUCAAAGGAAUUGACGGGGACCCG